CGUUUUUUGUUUAGUUCAUUAGGGCUUCAUUGUUUUAUUUCUUCUAUCUUCAACACGCCGUCUCCACUUAGCCUAAUCUGAAUCUGCAAACAUAAUAAUUUUUUUCCUCAUCUCUUAACCUCCCCUGUUUUAGCCUAUUUCUGUGGUUCAACGUAUUUCUAUCGUCUCGGAAUCCACUGCCCUGUUUCGGUCGGCGAGACCACAAAACAAUCAGUGGAAGAUGUCUCUGACAUAUCAUGGAUCUGCGACAUGGAUAGAACGCCAUUUCUCUUCAGAGAUGGCUCUCCAAUUCAGGCCUCCCAUCCGCAGAAAAUGGCUAUCGACAGAGUCGACAUCGGAGAGAGGACUCGCGCUUCUCAAAACCUAAAAAAAAGGAGAGAAGCUUCUCUUCGUUCAUCCUUCUCUCUUGAUCAGUACUGAUUCCGUGUCGACCAAUGGUGAGGCUGGUGAAGUGAUGAAGCGUUAUGAUGUUCUGGAUUGACCUUUGCUAGCUACUUAUCUUAUCAGUGAAGGGAGUCUUCGGAAAGAUUCUAGAUGCUUUAACUAUAUCUCUGCUCUUCUGAGACAACCUUACUCGCUUUUAUACUGGACUCAGAUAAAACUUGAUAUGUACUUGGAAGAAUCACAGAUUCGAGAACGGGCAAUUGAAAGAAUCAGUAAUGUUGUGAGAUAUUGUAUUCUCUUUCCUUCUCUCAGCUGCAAUUUGAUGCGUAGAACUUUGCUUUACUUGAUCUUGCACGUGAUGUGUAGGAGACUGAUUGUUAUGUCCUGCAUCAGACACAGCUGAAAAUAUGAAGUUGCAAGAUGCCCAGAUAUGUACAAGAUCAUCCCUCAAACAACCAUUGAUGAAGGCAUCUGGUUACAAUAACUACUGAAGUCUCAUCAAAAAGUGUAAGAGAGCAAUCAUUGUCUUUGUUAGUGAGACUAUACAAAGAGUUUGGUCUCGGGCCGGAAAAGCAUCUACACCGCCGGAUAGCUUCCUUUCACUUGGAAAGAGUUCGCUGUUAUGAUCUUUAAUGAAGAUGACGGUAUCAUUAAUGGCCCUAGAAGGGAGAGAUCAUAUAAGGUGGCUAUCAAGUUCAUUGCACUGGCCAAUAUGCAUCACUUGGGCGAGUUUCUAGCUGUGUAGGCGUGCGAAAUUGUAGAAGGACAACGGUGCACAAAAAGGUUGACGAGAAGCAAAUUACUGCUCUUUUGAAAGAUACAUGCCAGAGCUAAGGGACAUAGAAAACGAUAUUCUAAAGAGUUGCAAAAUCAAUGAAACCCCAUUUGUUGAAGGGAAAUGUGAGGAAGCAUCCACUUCCGCUUCUGCCAGCAACACAUUUACAGCUGAUGUGAAAGAAGGUGAACGCAUACACCACGCCGACACGACUCUGCUCCCGUCUCUUUAGAUUUUUUUAUAUUACUUUGCAUUAUCUAUUUCAGAUUUUGCAAUAUGUUCCCUAUUUCCAGGUUUUUUUCAAAGCCAUUUACGGCAACUUACCUCAUCCAAGGAGAAUUAUUUCUAAACUUUAGUAGUUAAAAGGAUUUGAUUUAAUAUUUAGAAUAGAGGUAACAAAAUGCAAAACAUGUUAUAUAUCAUAGCGUAAGUAAACAUGCAAUAUUCAGAUAUA